ACUCCUACGGGAGGCAGCAGUGGGGAAUAUUGGACAAUGGGGGCAACCCUGAUCCAGCAAUGCCGCGUGUGUGAAGAAGGUUUUCGGAUUGUAAAGCACUUUCGGCGGGGACGAUGAUGACGGUACCCGCAGAAGAAGCCCCGGCUAACUUCGUGCCAGCAGCCGCGGUAAUACGAAGGGGGCUAGCGUUGCUCGGAAUGACUGGGCGUAAAGGGCGUGUAGGCGGUUUGUACAGUCAGAUGUGAAAUCCCCGGGCUUAACCUGGGAGCUGCAUUUGAGAGCUGCAGACUAGAGUGUGAGAGAGGGUUGUGGAAUUCCCAGUGUAGAGGUGAAAUUCGUAGAUAUUGGGAAGAACACCGGUGGCGAAGGCGGCAACCUGGCUCAUUACUGACGCUGAGGCGCGAAAGCGUGGGGAGCAAACAGGAUUAGAUACCCUGGUAGUCCACGCUGUAAACGAUGUGUGCUGG
rnacentral:rRNA from 1 species